UACGUAGGGUGCAAGCGUUAAUCGGAAUUACUGGGCGUAAAGCGUGCGCAGGCGGUUUUGUAAGUCAGAUGUGAAAUCCCCGGGCUUAACCUGGGAACUGCGUUUGAAACUACAAGGCUAGAGUGUGGCAGAGGGGGGUGGAAUUCCACGUGUAGCAGUGAAAUGCGUAGAGGUGUGGAGGAACACCGAUGGCGAAGGCAGCCCCCUGGGUUAACACUGACGCUCAGGCACGAAAGCGUGGGGAGCAAACAGG
rnacentral:rRNA from 1 species